rnacentral:rRNA from 1 species
AGAGUUGAUCAUGGCUCAGGAUGAACGCUAGCUACAGGCUUAACACAUGCAAGUCGAGGGGCAGCAUCAGGUUAGCUUGCUAACCUGGAUGGCGACCGGCGCACGGGUGAGUAACGCGUAUCCAACCUUCCCCCUGCUCAGGGAUAGCCCGGUGAAAACCGGAUUAAGACCUGAUAGUUUCACUAGAUGGCAUCUGACGGUGAAUAAAGGUUUCGGCAAGGGAUGGGGAUGCGUCUGAUUAGCUUGUUGGCGGGGUAACGGCCCACCAAGGCGACGAUCAGUAGGGUUCUGAGAGGAAGGUCCCCCACAUUGGAACUGAGACACGGUCCAAACUCCUACGGGAGGCAGCAGUGAGGAAUAUUGGUCAAUGGGCGGAAGCCUGAACCAGCCAAGUAGCGUGCAGGAAGACGGCCCUAUGGGUUGUAAACUGCUUUUGUGCGGGAAUAAAGUCAGGGACGCGUCCCUGUUUGCAUGUACCGCAAGAAUAAGGACCGGCUAAUUCCGUGCCAGCAGCUGC